rnacentral:misc_RNA from 1 species
CAACCCUCAGGCACCGCCUGGUGUUGGGGCACCACCGCCGUCGUGGGCCCGAAAGUCAGUGGCGGGCGUCCCCUGGACCCGAGCGCAGUAGCACAUCUCGCUUAGGGCGCCGGGCGCGCUCCGGCCGUAAAACCCCCACACUUAGAA